AUCUUGAUCCCACAAUGCUUGAGCUCAUUAUACCUGGUGUGUUCAGCAGUUUCUUGAACCUGGAAAAUGUAUUUAAGGUGCUUAAUCAAACAUUCAGUAAAGGAGUCUCAGCUGAGGACAGAGAAGUCUGUAGUUCACUUAUAUAAGGACCUUUCUAGACCACAAAAAAAGAAGACCCUUCAGGUACAAAGGAAUUCAACCAAGUAAGGCUAAAGCCAAUGAUCCCCCAAUACUGACGGCUUUGGUAGUGUCAGUUGACUGUGACAAAAGAAAGAAGGUAACAGUGAGCAUCUGAAAAAGUGAAUCUCCUGUGGUUACCGACUAGCAAUAAAUUAAGAAGACAGGGUCUCACUAUGCUGCCCAGGCUGGUCUCUUACUCCUGGCCUCAAGUGAUCCACCUGCCUCGGCCUCCCAAAGUGCUGAGAGUACAGAUGUGAACCACUGCACCUGGUCUGAAAUCUGCAUUUUUAACCAGCAGACCAGUUCAUUCUGACAUGCUCGAGUUUGAGAACCACUGACCAGGCGAUCCUCUAUACCAAGCCCACCCACAGUGUUUGCUGGCAGCAUGGCUGACUCUUUCAGAAGCUAAUUCAUCUGACAGGUCCUGACCCCCAAGUCUGGGCCCAGCACUGUGCCAGGAGGCCCUUCCAGCUACACCACAUCACAUGAGGUCACAUCACAUCAAAACCCAUGUGUCUCGUUCAUAUUCCAUGGCGACUGUUGGCUCACCACAGUCCUACUCAGAGUUCUGAGUCAGCCUCAGAAACACUGGGAGCUCUGGGCCACCUCAUAUCGAACAUGAGUCAGAGCUGUGAUCUCUGCUUCCCAUUCCUGGGCUACGCUGCUGAUGUGGUACUGGAUUCCUUCCUAGUCAAUCAACACAGACCUUCAUUUCUACAGAGUUCUCUCACCCCCAAGUAAAUAGACUAAUUUCUUUCUGGUUGAUUUAGGUAUUAAAAUUAAAGAUGUAAAAAUAUUUAUUUACUUGGGUAAUGAUGAAUGAGUGCCUUGCAGGAGUAAUGAUUAAUCAUGCUCCACCUGGAAACCAGUGCCAAAACGACUCUGCUAAUAGAAUCCAUCAACUGCUGAAAUAAGUGAUUGCACUGAAGCUUGCUUUAUUGUGGAGCUGCAGCCCAGCUGGAGACACAAACGUUCCCAUUUGUAGCUGAGAAGUCCCUGUUUGGUGGAUCAUGGGCUCCUUCCACUGGUUUUG
rnacentral:lncRNA from 1 species